rnacentral:tRNA from 2 species
GGAGGCAUAGCUCAGCUGGUUAGAGUGCGCGCUUCACAUGCGCGAGGUCAUGGGUUCGAGCCCCCUUGCCUCUACCA